UUGCUAUCUGCGAUAUGGAAGAUUCGAACCUGCCGCAGGGUCGGGACUCACGCAGUGAGACAACGGAGCCGCUUGCGGCGACGGCCCGAAGGGCGAGCGAAGCGAGUCAUCCUGCACGACCCACCA
rnacentral:sRNA from 1 species